rnacentral:lncRNA from 1 species
GCACCACUUUCGAGAUUUUAUUGACGGAGUUGUGACAUCUUUAGUGCCGAGUUCGAGUUCCCGCUUUGUGACAUCGGGAAAACGCAUUUCCCACGUAAGUACUUCUGAAAUAUUUGUGAAAUAAUUUUACAAGAAAGUUUGCAUGAUCGUGAUACUUAACUGUCUUUGUAAAGUUUCUUCCUCUGAAAACCUCAAAAUGUGUUUUUCACUGAAAGAGAUAAUAGAAUGUGAAUUUAAUUUAACUUGGAAGAGAAGUCAAGAAUAAGACGGGGAUUGAGGCCUUGAAAAUUAACUCCCAAAAAGCGCAAUUCCAUUAAUAUGUUGUUUUGUUGCCCAUCGAUGUUUUAACUGAAAAAUGUUUAUUUUUCUAGCCACAUUUCAAAAAUGUCCUUCAAAAUAACAUACGUAAUUUUUUUAAGAGAAUACCUUUUCAGACAUGUUCGUGUGGUCACUAUUGCUAUAAUUUAAGAAAAUUUCUGACUAAAUUCAUCAGUGAUUUUUAUUUUUAAAACAAUGGUUUGAAUACACAUGUUUCUACUAUUCUAGGCCUUAAAUCAUCAUUAUAAAAAUGGGGUCAUCAGGAAUGCACCAUUGGUAUUUUUACCUUUCACACUCAAGCCAAAGAAAAUGGGUACUCUGUUUAAGCUGGCGUUUGGAGCGAUAUUACCUGGUUUGGGGCCUAUAAUUUUCAACAAAUGGAUCAUCCCUAAAUUUUUUGGCACUUUAAAAACAACGGCAAUUAUUCUAUGGAAAUUGAUAGUGCCAGUAUGACGAAUAAAUCCAUCCAAGGUGCUCAGCCGAUACUAAGAUGUCACUGAAAAGAGCGAUAACCUCAGUUCUUCCGCUAGCGCUCUUUUUCCCGUUUUUGCCCGUAGCAAUUAGUGUCUUAUACGGAGAACUAGGCAAUCUACUUUUUUAUGUACCUGUGUUUCCUUUCAUGUUUCCACUGUUAAAGUUUCUCCACAAACCCCUGAAGGUCAUCGCAGUUGCUGUUAUUUAUCUUCAAUUGAGUAUCGGUUUAUUUAAUCUGAUUAUUAAACCAAAAUAAAGAAUUAGUAUAUCCUAUUUUGC